CCUGGUUCAAGAGGAUCACCUGGUUCAAGAGGUCCCGUAGUAAGUUCUAAUGAACAGAAAAAAACUUUAGCUAAUGUAAUUGUGUAAGGGUCCUUCUGGUGCAACUGGUGGGACUGGAAAACAAGGAGUGUCGGGCCCACGAGGAGUAACAGGAGAUACCGGACCACAAGGUCCAGUAGGUCCUCCAGGUUUGCCUGGUAUUAAAGGAGUCCAAGGAAUAAAGGGAGACAAAGGAUACCAAGGAUCACAAGGUUUAGCAGGUUUGGAUGGCAAACCGGGCCCACCAGGACAUCCAGGACCAGAUGGCCUUACCGGGGGAAAAGGCGUUAAGGGCGUUCGAGGGUUUACAGGUCACAAAGGAGAACAAGGUGGUCAAGGAAUACCAGGACUUACUGU